rnacentral:lncRNA from 1 species
AGGAGGAGCCUCUAAUACUGAACAUGCAGAGGUCUUCGAUUCCCGGAGCAUCUAUUUAAUUCUUCUCCAACAGCUAUAUCAGAAUAUUCUUUAUAUCUCUUGUCAAUAAACAAAUGUUUUGGAAAUUUAAAGCAACUAAUUCAAUAUUGGUCAUGUCAUCAGUGCUCAGGGUACUUGGGCAUGGAACAGGAGGAAGGGGAGGCGCGCCACCUGUGAGGAGAUAGCUCUUCGGCUAUGAGACAAUUCUAUUCAGCAUCCAGGGGAAGCAGCCAUCUUCGGCUUUGUCGUUCAUGCAUCUUAUGGCACAUUUAAGUAAAAUCUCGGACAAGAAGACAACCAGAGAGAGGAGAAAGGAACAAGUUCUGUAUUUUGUUGGUUACUAUUGAACAUCAAGUCUUAGUGAUUUUAACUUUCUAUAUAAAAUAAAUUCACUAAGAGCAAUUUUAUUGCUUAAGUUACUAAUCGGACAUAUGUAGCUGUAAUUAAAAUGAAGUAAUCGGUAGUUCAUGGUUUGGUCGACAUGGUCCAACCACGACCGCGACCGGAAGCACGGCCAGAAAAGCUAGGUGGCAUGUAUAUCAUCAUUCUUCUCGCUCCACCUUUUCUUUUUGCUUGAUACGUCUCCUCUGCACCAUUUAUAUAUAAAUUAAUUAAUCAUACACAUAAAACCACUUGCAAACAAUUUGUGCUCUCUCCCUAAGAACUCAAGGACAUUAAGGGCCACCAGUCCUACGGUAAUUCGGAUGAAACAUUCGCCUCAAGCCUCUAAAAUUUCCGGAAAAAAAAUCAUAUAUAAAUAAGUUCCUAACUUUGUUAAAAGAAAAUUGAAACCCUCAAAUUAUUGAAAUCUUUCUUUAGACCGUCUAUAGUUCCCAACUGAACUAUGCAAUGAGAAAUGAUGCAAUAGGAAGUUUUUAACUGAACUCCUAAAUGGGUUUGUGGUUUUAUAUGGAUAGUAAGCUACUGUUCUUUAGCUUUGUCGACUAAGUUGUAAAUAAAAAGAGAGUAAAAACAAACCACACAGCUUGACUCACCGGCUGGUAAAGGUGUGACGAACGAGUUCUCAGUAGAAGACAAAAGCAGCAACGUUACUGAUAAUAAGCACAGACACAUUUUCGCAGUAUCCA